rnacentral:rRNA from 1 species
GAUGAACGCUGGCGGCGUGCCUAAUACAUGCAAGUCGAGCGAAGCGGGGAUGGGUGAGUAACGGGUGGAUAACCUCCUAUAAGACUGGGACAACUUCGGGAAACCGGUGCAAAACCGGCUACUUGGGGAUGGAUCCGGGCUGCAUUAGCUAGUUGGUAAGGUAACGGCUUACCAAGGCAACGAUGCAUAGCCGACCUGAGAGGGUGAUCGGCCACACUGGGACUGAGACACGGUCCAGACUCCUACGGGAGGCAGCAGUAGGGAAUCUUCCGCAAUGGGCGAAAGCCUGACGGAGCAACGCCGCGUGAGUGAUGAAGGUCUUCGGAUCGUAAAACUCUGUUAUUAGGGAAGCGGUACCUAAUCAGAAAGCCACGGCUAACUACGUGCCAGCAGCCGCGGUAAUAC